GCACUGCUGAAGAGUCUCACAAAAGGACGAAACGGCAGUCCAGUGC
rnacentral:hammerhead_ribozyme from 1 species